rnacentral:misc_RNA from 1 species
GAUGAAGAACGUAGCGAAAUGCGAUAAGUAAUGUGAAUUGCAAAAUUCAGUGAAUCAUCGAAUCUUUGAACGCACAUUGCGCCCGCCAGUAUUCUGGCGGGCAUGCCUGUUCGAGCGUCAUUACAACCCUCAGGCCCCCGGGCCUGGCGUUGGGGAUCGGCGGAGCCCCCCGUGGGCACACGCCGUCCCCCAAAUGCAGUGGCGGUCCCGCCGCAGCUUCCAUCGCGUAGUAGCUAACACCUCGCGACUGGAGAGCGGCGCGGCCACGCCGUAAAACACCCAACUCUUCUGAAGUUGACCUCGAAUCAGGUAGGAAUACCCGCUGAACUUAAGCAUAUCAAUAAGCGGAGGA